rnacentral:lncRNA from 1 species
UGGAAAUGUAAACAAGAAACGAAAAGCUUCAUAUGCUGCAGUAGAACCAAGUGAGGACUUACUCAGAGAAAGAUCAGCACGAUCGGAAAGACGUAGCUGACUUCCCAGAGCCACCUUCAUCCGCCAAUCAUUUGUUGUGUGGAAACAGACUGGCUAAAAGGCGUCAGGCUGUGUGGCAGGAGCAAAAGCAUUAUUACCAUGUGUGUGAAAUCCAUCCUGUACAGUGUUUGUGUUGUUCUGAGAGACAGAAAUGUAUGAAUUUUUGAAUUCUGAGUGCAAAGAACCCAAAAAAAAAGGCAACCCCCAUAACUGACGCGUGCACUCAACUCCCUCGACAGUGUUCAAUCACAACUUCAAAGUAUAAUUGAC